rnacentral:lncRNA from 1 species
CUGAACUGAAUAAUGUGUUCUAUGUUGUAGCUGGGUACACAGUAAAGCCAGCGUAUCAGUGUCGCUGUUUGUGAUAGAAGUUUAUGUUGUGUUUUGAACCUAUUGAAUGUAUGUCUUUGACCCUAAAACAACCUCUGGAUGGAUUUGCUGUAAUAAGCCUGAUUAAACCCGAAAAGAAUUGGACUCUGGCAUCUUUGGAAAAUGAGUUGAAGUACCCUCUGGUGAAUUGAUG